CAAAUAUUAUCUUCUAGACAAUAUCCACACGCAAAUAAGUCCUCAUUACAAUUAUUCAAACACUAUUUUAUAGAAAUAGUGAGGACUGCUAAAACAUCUUCCUAGAACCAUCACUCCAUACCCCGACUCGAUCCUGCUAUGUUCUCACCUCCUGAGAAGAAAAAUGGAACAAAAAGGAAAGGGUGAGCUCAACUAGCCCGGUAAAGAAUAUUAUUACUAAGAUAAUAUACAACAAAUUAUUGUUAGUCUUCAACAGGGAAAAUCUGAUAAAAUAUAAUAGAUAACAAGUUUUAAAUCAACAAAUGCAGCGAAAACAACAAUCCAUUAGAAGAGUCACAUAGAGAAUGAAUUCUACUGUCUUCUAAGAUUUAAAAGUACAUCAUCAAUAUUUCAUCCCUGUAACAACAAUCAAUAUACAUCUUUAAUCAUCUUUGCACUACAGGCCAAAGAUAUUCAUUUGUAUCACCAGUUGGUCAUGUUCAUCUCAACACCUGUUCAUCUUUGCACUACGGGCCAAAGAGAUUCAUCAGUUUAAUCAUUCAUCUUUGCACUACAGGCCAAAGAUAUUCAUCAAGUAUCACCAUUAAGGACUGAGAAUUAUGAAAAACAUUUUUAAGAACGAAUUCAGUGAGAUAGAAGGACAAAUAUUAGGGAUUCGUUUAACAGUUUAUCCAAGAUCGAUAAUACUUUAUAAUAAACGAUUUUGAAGCAGAACUCAAAAAUAACGAUCAAAACAUGGAUACAAUCAAAGAUAGUAGCCAAAAUAGACAUCUUGGACAAAAAGGAAAAUUUUCAUUUUUCGGUGAAUAGUGUUGUAUUCGUGAAUAGUGCCGUAUACGUGAAUAAUAACCCCGGCACCAAAAGAUAGAAAUUUCACAAAAACAUCAUCACGCUUCGUGAGUAGUACUCGUGAAUAGUAACUCAUGAAUAGUAACUCCGACAUGAAAAAGUUCCAAAUUGAUAAAAAGUUCAGAACAAUAUUUUGGCAUAAUGAUAUUGAAGAAGAUAAUAUCAUUUAAGAAGAAACAGCAUCCCUUACCUCAAAAUAACCGUACUUCUGACUGAAUUUCGGUAUAGUGCUGACAGAAACUUGCACCGUAUAGCAACACUCAAAGUAUACUCACAAGAAUACGCUCGAUAAUAUAGAGAGAGAAAGAGAGAAAAC
rnacentral:lncRNA from 1 species